rnacentral:rRNA from 1 species
UGGGGAAUAUUGCACAAUGGGGGAAACCCUGAUGCAGCGACGCCACGUGAGCGAAGAAGGCUUUCGAGUCGUAAAGCUCUGUCCUAUGAGAAGAUAAUGACGGUAUCAUAGGAGGAAGCCCUGGCUAAAUACGUGCCAGCAGCCGCGGUAAUACGUAUGGGGCGAGCGUUGUCCGGAAUUAUUGGGCGUAAAGGGCGUGUAGGCGGCUAGAUAAGUGUGAUGUUUAAAUCCAAGGCUUAACCUUGGGGUUCAUUACAAACUGUUUAGCUUGAGUGCUGGAGAGGAUAGUGGAAUUCCUAGUGUAGCGGUAAAAUGCGUAGAUAUUAGGAGGAACACCGGUGGCGAAGGCGGCUAUCUGGACAGUAACUGACGCUGAGGCGCGAAAGCGUGGGGAGCAAACAGG